rnacentral:pre_miRNA from 1 species
GGGGGGAGCACCAGAUCCUGGGCUGUGUCCCCCAGCACCUUGGGCUCCGGGGCCUGCGCCGCUGGAAUCACUGCUCUCAGGGCCGCGCAGCCCCCU